GACGAACGCUGGCGGCGUGCUUAACACAUGCAAGUCGAACGGAAAGGCCCUGCUUUUGUGGGGUGCUCGAGUGGCGAACGGGUGAGUAACACGUGAGUAACCUGCCCUUGACUUUGGGAUAACUUCAGGAAACUGGGGCUAAUACCGGAUAGGAGCUCCUGCUGCAUGGUGGGGGUUGGAAAGUUUCGGCGGUUGGGGAUGGACUCGCGGCUUAUCAGCUUGUUGGUGGGGUAGUGGCUUACCAAGGCUUUGACGGGUAGCCGGCCUGAGAGGGUGACCGGCCACAUUGGGACUGAGAUACGGCCCAGACUCCUACGGGAGGCAGCAGUGGGGAAUAUUGCACAAUGGGCGGAAGCCUGAUGCAGCAACGCCGCGUGCGGGAUGACGGCCUUCGGGUUGUAAACCGCUUUCGCCUGUGACGAAGCGUGAGUGACGGUAAUGGGUGAAGAAGCACCGGCCAACUACGUG
rnacentral:rRNA from 1 species